UACGGAGGGUGCAAACGUUGCUCGGAAUCAUUGGGCGUAAAGCGCACGUAGGCGGCUCAGCAAGUCGGGUGUGAAAGCCCUCGGCUCAACCGAGGAAGUGCAUUCGAAACUACUGAGCUUGAAUACUGGAGAGGAUCGCGGAAUUCCCGGUGUAGAGGUGAAAUUCGUAGAUAUCGGGAGGAACACCAGUGGCGAAGGCGGCGAUCUGGACAGAUAUUGACGCUGAGGUGCGAAAGCGUGGGGAGCAAACAGG
rnacentral:rRNA from 1 species